rnacentral:rRNA from 1 species
GUAGGGGGCGAACGUUUGUCCGGAUUUAUUGGGCGUAAAGGGCUCGUAGGCGGUUCAACAAGUCGGCCGUGAAAACCCGGGGCUCAACCCCGGGACGCCGGUCGAAACUGUUGUGACUAGGGUCCGGUAGAGGUCACUGGAAUUCUCGGUGUAGCGGUGAAAUGCGCAGAUAUCGAGAGGAACACCAGUAGCGAAGGCGGGUGACUGGGCCGGUACCGACGCUGAGGAGCGAAAGCGUGGGGAGCAAACAGGAUUAGAUACCCUGGUAGUCCACGCCGUAAACGUUGAACACUAGGUGUGGGGGAUUUAUCCACGUCCUCCGUGCCCGCAGCUAACGCAUUAAGUGUUCCCGCCUGGGGGAGUACGGCCGCAAGGCUA